rnacentral:tRNA from 1 species
GGAGAGGUGGCCGAGUUGGCUUAAGGCGGUGGUUUGCUAAACCACUGUACGGUCAAAAGCCGUACCCUGGGUUCGAAUCCCAGCCUCUCCG